rfam:Ciona savignyi cont_30127, whole genome shotgun sequence.
GUAUCUGUGGCGCAAUUGGUUAGCGCGUUCGGCUGUUAACCGAAAGGUUUCUGGUUCAAGCCCAGCCAGGGACG